rnacentral:rRNA from 1 species
UACGUAGGGGGCAAGCGUUGUCCGGAAUUAUUGGGCGUAAAGAGCUCGUAGGCGGUGUGUCGCGUCGGCCGUGAAAACCUGCAGCUUAACUGUGGGCUUGCGGUCGAUACGGGCAUCACUGGAGUUCGGCAGGGGAGACUGGAAUUCCUGGUGUAGCGGUGAAAUGCGCAGAUAUCAGGAGGAACACCAAUGGCGAAGGCAGCUCGCUGGGACGGUACUGACGCUGAGACGCGAAAGCGUGGGGAGCAAACAGG